rnacentral:rRNA from 1 species
UACGUAGGUCCCGAGCGUUGUCCGGAUUUAUUGAGCGUAAAGCGAGCGCAGGUGGUUUAUUAAGUCUGGUGUAAAAGGCAGUGGCUCAACCAUUGUAUGCAUUGGAAACUGGUAGACUUGAGUGCAGGAGAGGAGAGUGGAAUUCCAUGUGUAGCGGUGAAAUGCGUAGAUAUAUGGAGGAACACCGGUGGCGAAAGCGGCUCUCUGGCCUGUAACUGACACUGAGGCUCGAAAGCGUGGGGAGCAAACAGG